CGAUUCGCCCUUCGGGGUGCAGCAGGCGCGAAAACUUUACAAUGCCGGCAACGGCGAUAAGGGAACCUCGAGUGCCAGGUUACAAAUCUGGCUGUCGUGAUGCCUAAAAAGCAUUGCAUAGCAAGGGCCGGGCAAGACCGGUGCCAGCCGCCGCGGUAACACCGGCGGCUCGAGUGGUAACCGUUAUUAUUGGGUCUAAAGGGUCUGUAGCCGGCCGGGUAAGUCUCUUGGGAAAUCUGGCAGCUUAACUGUCAGGCUUUCAGGAGAUACUGCCUGGCUCGAGGCCGGGAGAGGUGAGAGGUACUUCAGGGGUAGGGGUGAAAUCUUGUAAUCCUUGAAGGACCACCAGUGGCGAAGGCGUCUCACCAGAACGGACCUGACGGCAAGGGACGAAAGCUAGGGGCACGAACCGGAUUAGAUACCCGGGUAGUCCUAGCCGUAAACGAUACUCGCUAGGUGUCGGCCACGGUGCGACCGUGGUCGGUGCCGUAGGGAAGCCGUGAAGCGAGCCACCUGGGAAGUACGGCCGCAAGGCUGAAACUUAAAGGAAUUGGCGGGGGAGCAC
rnacentral:rRNA from 1 species